AAUCAACGCUGGCGGCGUGCCUAACACAUGCAAGUCGAACGAGAAAGUGGAGCAAUCCAUGAGUAAAGUGGCGCACGGGUGAGUAACACGUGACUAACCUACCCUUGAGUGGGGAAUAACUUCGGGAAACCGAGGCUAAUACCGCAUAACACCUACGGGUCAAAGGAGCAAUUCGCUUAAGGAGGGGGUCGCGGCAGAUUAGUUAGUUGGCGGGGUAAUGGCCCACCAAGACGGUGAUCUGUAUCCGGCCUGAGAGGGCGCACGGACACACUGGAACUGAAACACGGUCCAGACUCCUACGGGAGGCAGCAGUGGGGAAUUUUGCGCAAUGGGGGAAACCCUGACGCAGCAACGCCGCGUGGAGGAUGAAGUCCCUUGGGACGUAAACUCCUUUCGAUCGGGACGAUU
rnacentral:rRNA from 1 species